CCUCCCCUUCCUUCUUCCCCAGCGAUUACCAGAACAGGAAAACAGAAACCCAGAAAAAAAUCAAACGAAAGAACGCAGAGAAAACAGACCCCCCAACGGAAACUUCCCCAGACACGUCUCUCCCUCUCGCGUCUCCCUCACUCUCUCCUUUUCGUCUCCCUCACGCGCGAUGUUUUCGGAAAGGACGCCCAGCCAACUCGCAGCAACGGAAACCUGCACUGCAGCUGUCGCGCGACUCUGCAGUGCACAAGACGACACGAAAGGGCGUCCUCCUUCGUCCUUGUUAGCUGAGAUCGAGCCACGUAGCUCGCAAGGACAACGAUUUCAUCUCAGCCCUCCACCUCGCCUCAAACUCCCUUCCCGCUCGAAGUUUCGGAUAAGAUUUUGAGAUUUUGAAUUGGAAUGGGCCGAAAUUCUUGGAACCCAUCCGAAUUUGAAACCCUAGUCUCUCUUCUUCUAUAUAAACCCCCCUGCGUCUUCAGUAAAGGGGGUUGGACACUUUUGGGUUUGAGAAUUUAGAGUGUUGGAGUUUUGAGUGUUAGAAAUUAUUUUUUAGAGCAAGAAAGAUUAAUUUCUGUUUUCAAGUUUUCUCUUCUCAAUCGACUUUAGACUGGUCUGAUAUUGAGUUUUCUUCUUAGACUUCUCAUUCGGGGGUUUGAAACUUGGAUUGGAAAUUUUCGGUUUGAAAGUCUUGGUUUGUUCUGUUUGUUUAUAAGAAAAUACUCCACUCCUCCUUCUGGUUUGCUUCAAACGACGAAAAGGAAAGAGAAAUCAGGUCUGUCACGAAGAGUCAUAAGAAGAGCUCAUUCGUUCCGUCAUCUCCGGCAUUCGUGUGUUCAAUUGGUGGGAGUCAUCGCUGUUUACUGCUCGUUUCCCGGCGUCGCUGCUCCUCAACAGGUGAACACUUCUUUUAUAUAAAUUCCCUUUUGUCUCGAUUAGAUGGGGUGAGGGUGGAGAGCUUUCUGUUAUGCAUCUUUGGGAUUGUUUGUCACUGUUGGAGUAACCUUAAGGGAUAUGUCUGCUGGAGUUUGCUAGACUGUUUUAUUCGUUUAUACAAUUCAUGCGUUUCUUGAGUAGUUCUUUUGAAUGAAUACGUUGUUUGGUUAUAGUCUAGAGGUCUGCAUACUUUAACGAAGAUGGUUCUGUGUUCUCGUUCUUAUCGAGCAUGUCUUUUCUUUCUUCCUUUCUCUCAUUGAGUAGUAUUUGAAGUGAUGCUGAACAUUCGAUGUCUCAUCCUUCAUUCAUUCACCCCAAGUUGAAAGAAUGAAUCGAGACGUCAAAAUUUAAGAUUUGGCCUAUGGUGUUUGGAUUGUUCGAAGUCUGUGUUGCACUUGUGGCACGUCUUGAUGAUUUUGUGAUUCAAAGACGAUUCAAGUUCGAGUUCUAGCAAAAUAUCGUCGUUGAUUUUAGGUUGAGUUAUUGUUAAUCCUGUCUGUCGUGAAUGUUAUUGCGAUUUAUUGGGUUUGUUCUGGUUAGUUUCUGCGAUUCAUGGCUGUUAAAGAAGUUAACUUCGAUUUUCUGAACUUGCUGCUCCAUCUUGUAUGGAAGUCUUUGCAUCCGUUGUGUUGUUUCGAGCAUGUUCAUUCGGUUUUCUUUAGUGCGAGUCUUUAGUUAGCUCUUGACAUGUUUCAUUUGCUUUGAGGUUUGUAUUAUGGUGGGUAGUAUGAUGUGUUUCCUUAAUGUCGAAAUCUAGCGCAUUCGGUGAUUUGAAGGGCAGAAAGGGAUGCUGUCCCUUUAGGCAGAGUUGCCGUUGCUGUUGUCCACGAUUGAGGGUGUCUCUCAAUGACACUCAUCAUCGUGGAGCCAUGUUGGCUGUUUUCGUUCCCUCCCUCUUGCCUUACAAAUUUGUCUCGCUGAGUUUUUCGAUACGCCUCUGUGCAAUCUCCUUUAGUGGAGUUAUUUAUUGAUACAUAUCUUUCAUGAAUAAAGUGUGUAAUUUUCCAUUAAGUUAGUUAACUUUCUUCCGAUUAUGUUGCCCUGGGUUAUAUAUUUACUCUUCUCAUUUUAAUUUGUGGCAUGCUAAACCUGUCCGAGUUCGAUAAGGACUCUCAUCUCUGCCCACAUCUUGAGAAAGCCAUAAGGGCUUAAUUUCAUCCUUUCGAGUCAACCUAUCAAGACGGAAAUGCAGAUUCGAAAGUCCAUGAAGAAUGAAGAAGUUUAAAGAAGACGGACUAGAAGACUUUACCUUAUUUUUAUUAUGUAUUUUAUUUUUGUAAUGGGCAUGAGCCCUCGUUGUUUUAUUUUGAUAUCUUAUUUGUAUGUUUAGAUUAGGACAGGUACAAAAUGGGUCAAAAACCCAAAAGCAGGUGCGUCCGAGUUUCGGCCAAGGUGAACAACAUCCGAAACUUGGACCCGAAUCUCUCUCUCUCUCUUUACUAUUUGCUUAUCUUGUUUUUUCUUCAAUGUCGUUAGCUUAGGAUUAGGAAACUCCAAACCCCCAUUGACGCCUUUUGUUUUAUCAACUUAAAAACUAAAAUCGAAAUUUUAAAGCAAUAGAGGUUUAGCUUUGAAAAUUGCUUAGAUUUGAAGUUAAGUUUAACUUUGACAAAAAUCUUAAAACAAUAAUAUUUCAAGUCCGUUUUAGAGAGUUUUAACUUUAAGGAAAAUUUGCAAGAUAAAUAUUUUAAAGUUGCAAAGUAUGGUUAAGUAGAUUCUGAUAAAGUUUUAACUUCGACUUGUAAAAAUUAAAACAAAAUAGUCAAAUAGUUAGUCGUCGGAAAACCGUAGUUAGCGGAGCGUCUUAGGUGUUUUAAACACCUUCCUAAGACGCUAAUAGGAAUUCCGAACCCCUUUAAUAUUUUCAAUCGAUUUUUCUGUUAAGUCUUUUGAAAAUUAAAGUUUUCUUAAUUUUCCUUAAAAAUUAAGUGGCGACUCCAAAAAGUCAAAAAUACCCUUUAAUAAAACAAACUCUUUUUCGAAAAAUAACUUUUUCGAUAAAACAGUUAUUCAAUUUGUUUUUUUAAAAAAAAAGUUUAAAGAAUAAAACCAAUCCAAUUGAAAUAUUACCAAUUUAUUUUUCAAUUUAUAUUUUUGUCGAGUUGAAUCAAAUUGUAAAUAGCUCUAGCUCUAAUCUUAACCUUAUGAUGUAAAAAUAUGUAUGAUACGUUUGUUUCAAUGUCAAUAGAGAAAUUAAAUUGUGUACGACUUAUUAAAGAGAUGAAACAAGAACAUUAGAUACACAAGUGAAUGCUAUGAAUAUAUCUAGUGCAAUUAAUUUGAAUGUAUCUAGGAUAUUAGAUACAUAAGAGAGUGGUGAGCAAGACAAGAGGGAAGUGAUGAGAUUCAUUACAUAUUUCAGAUAUAUGCGGAUUCACUUAGAUACAUUAUAUCUAAAAUAAAUUAUAUCUAAUUUUGAUUAAAUAUAUCCAUAUAUAUAUAUAUAUAUAUAUAUAUAUAUAUAUAGAUUGUAUCUAUAUAAAACUCUUUGUAGUUUCUACCUCACUUUGACCAAGUACACACAUAGUCGGCAACAUUCCCCUAAUUAGUAAAUGUUGAGAAGGAAAUAAACAACACAAAAUCCACUUUUUUCACAAACUAAUGAAAUUAGAUUUUUAAUUAUUGUUUCUUGUAUGGUCCUAUAAAUACAC
rnacentral:lncRNA from 1 species